AUCUAGUCCUACUAUCUAAUCCUG
rnacentral:siRNA from 1 species